GCCGAUGUAGCUCAGCUGGUCAGAGCAGCUGAUUUGUAAUCAGCAGGUCGGGGGUUCGAAUCCCUUCAUCGGCU
rnacentral:tRNA from 1 species